rnacentral:rRNA from 1 species
UACGGAGGGUGCAAGCGUUAUCCGGAUUCACUGGGUUUAAAGGGUGCGUAGGUGGGUUGGUAAGUCAGUGGUGAAAUCUCCGAGCUUAACUUGGAAACUGCCAUUGAUACUAUUAGUCUUGAAUAUUGUGGAGGUCAGCGGAAUAUGUCAUGUAGCGGUGAAAUGCUUAGAGAUGACAUAGAACACCAAUUGCGAAGGCAGCUGGCUACACAAAUAUUGACACUGAGGCACGAAAGCGUGGGGAUCAAACAGG